GUGUUAUUUUUAUCUUUUUUUUUUAAAGAAUCACUUUUUCUAAGUAUGUCGGAGUGAUUGAGCAGAGAGAAAAAUGAAUACCCUAAGCGAACUAGAAAUCUGGAAAGAACCGAAAUAGAGGCAGUGUCUCAUGACACUUUACUUGAGGACUCACCUGAUGAACUGCUGAUCAACUCUAUAUCAUCAGAGAGUUAUGAUGGUUAACUCUAUCAGUCUUCUACCUGAAUGCCCCAAGAUAUUGAUGAAGUCAACAAAAACAUUGAGCCUCAGAACACAAGAAAUCUUGGACAAACUGGGAGACAGCUUGUCAGUAUCUAAGUCCUCAUCCCCAUCAGCUGAGGAUUUCCAUUUGUUUACAUGGCCCUCCAGGAUCUCUCCUGCACUUCCCCAGACUUGAUCCUGAAGCCUCCAUUUCCCUCCCUAUAGAACCAAAGAACAAGUCAGCCAUGCUAUAAGUGCCUUGAAAUCAAGUUCUAAGUGAUCUGUUGCCCUUCUCUUGCCUCUACCUGCUUACAGAGGG
rnacentral:lncRNA from 1 species